rnacentral:lncRNA from 1 species
CAGCAUACACAGGUUUUUAAUACACAACUUCUUAAUGGGAUACUCCUAAGUGGGAGGAGUUAAAACUGCACCCAGAUUAAUGUAUCAAGAAACAAAGGACAAAGGAAGCCAAAUGCAACAAGUGGUCACUAAUUAACAAGACAUGUAUAUUUGUAUUGGAACUGAUGUAAUUAGACCUCCUGCUAAGAACAUGUGAUAAACUUCACAUCUAACUGAUUGACAUAUGAUAAUAAAUCUGUUUCAUCUCA